rnacentral:tRNA from 1 species
GUAGAGAUAUGGUAGCUCGCAAGGCUCAAAACCUUGAGGUUACGGGUUCAAAUCCUGUC